UCUUUGAGGCUUGUAAAGGAGAACGCCUUGCGUUUGAGCUUGAACAUGAUAAGCCUGGCAGAAGCCUGAUGAACCCAGAAUGAGUGAGAUGUGGCAGGAUCCUGAAGUAGGAAAUCUAUGAAAAAAAUGACAAGACUCUGAAGAAUUAACUCGCCAGGAGGGACUCAAUUGGAGGCUUGAAUCUGACAUGGAGACUGAGAACCCUUGAAUAGAUGAAGACAGUAUCUUUUUUUUUUUUCCUUCAAUCUUUUUUUUUUAAAUCUAUUUGUUUGGUUGCUUUUUGGGGACUAAGAAAUUUUUAAACUGCCCUGAUAUCUACAAGGCUGUCACAGGGAAAGGUGACGACUGGAGAAUACCUACACUACAAUAGAUAAAAAGGCGGUGGCUUCCUAGGCUGCAGAGAACAAGUCCUUUCUAGCAGUGGCUCAGGACCACUGUUUUGAAAAGUGUAAUUAAUUUGCUUCUCUGACCUUGAUUGCUACCUUUAAAAGAAGCUUUAAAGCCUACUUGGUCUCCUAAACUUGCCAAGCCCUCUGCCUGGGUCUAGUCAGCAAUCUUGCUCUGCCCAGACCUCUUACUGUCUGACCACAGGGCUUAGCUAACCCCAUUUGUGUCACACCCCACUGCUAUGCCUCCUUUGGAAAGGCCUAUUUAAGAAGUAGCUCUCUAUAUAAAUGGAAGGACAUUAAAGACUCUUAAUGGAGUAAACACCCAAGAGAUAAGGAAUCAAGGUGGAGGGGUUGGUCUUGGACAUGGUAAAUGUAGAGAUAGAGACUAUCUAGACAGAAAGGUUAAACUUAUAAGUCUUCAUUCUACAAAGUAUGAUGCAAAUUCCUUUUAAAGAGGAACUGUGAAUUGUAUAGUAUGUGAAUUAUCUUUCAAUAAAGCUAUUUUUAAAAAGCAGAGAAUGUAAGAGAUGGAAUAGGAUUAGAAAAGUAUUGAGUUUAAAAAUCACAUUCAUAUUACGAUGGCAAUUCCUGGUUAUGGGUCUCUUUAAUGAUGUUUCUAUACAGAGUGAAUGUAGUAGUCUGUAUGUUUCUCUCUUCCUUUUUAAUUGAAAUAUUAGAUUGCUCCAAAGGUUUCCAUAUACUGUUCAACUUCCUAGCAGUCAUUCCAGAAAAGGAACAAAUGAAGCAUUAACCAUAUGUUUACUAAUCAACAAAUGCAAAUGUGAUGGCUAUACUAAAUAUUCUAAUGCAUAAAUAAUAUUUAUAUUGUAUGUGUUAGGCUGUACAUAACAGACAAGGCAACUAGCAGUGGCUUAAAUAAAAAAUAUUUAUUAUUAAAUAAAUAUUAGAAUA